UUGUCCAAGAAUUAAAAGAAAAAUUAAAAAAAAAAAAGAAGAAAAAUAUGAUGUAACAAGAUACAUACGAGUAUACGAUUAAAAAAAAAAAACUAACGAUGCCAACGUACGUAGAACAAGACCCAUGUUCCGGAAAACGGGCGAAAAAAGUAUUCUCAUACCGAGAAUUGUUUGCCAUCGGAGCGACUUAUUUGUGUUUCUGUGUAUUCCGCACUUUACCCCUACUGUGCUACCUUUGUCUGGGGCUCUCGUACAUUGCUUGUCAAAGCAUGUGCUGUUUCGUGUUCUGUUCUUGAAUUUGAUGAAAUGAGGUUUGAAUAAAGUAAUCCAUAUCA